AGUCUCGGCAAGUGCAUUUUUCUCUUUUGUUUUUCUUUUCUCUUUUUUUUUUCUCUUUUUUUAAAAAGAAAAUACAUACUAUUUUUCUUUUUGUAUGAUCUCUUAUUAUGCACUUUCCUUCUCUUUCAAGAUUUCCACCCCAAACUUAGUUUUAUUGCACAUCUUGAAAUUCACACAAUCAUACCGAGUUAUGAAACAAAAGGAAAUGAAUGAUUAAAAGAUAACAGGGGGUUUAUGAUGAAUAAU
rnacentral:lncRNA from 1 species